rnacentral:rRNA from 1 species
GAUGAACGCUGGCGGCGUGCCUAAUACAUGCAAGUCGAGCGAACAGACGAGGAGCUUGCUCCUCUGACGUUAGCGGCGGACGGGUGGGUAACACGUGGAUAACCUACCUAUAAGACUGGGAUAACUUCGGGAAACCGGAGCUAAUACCGGAUAAUAUAUUGAACCGCAUGGUUCAAUAAUGAAAGACGGUUUUGCUGUCACUUAUAGAUGGAUCCGCGCCGCAUUAGCUAGUUGGUAAGGUAACGGCUUACCAAGGCGACGAUGCGUAGCCGACCUGAGAGGGUGAUCGGCCACACUGGAACUGAGACACGGUCCAGACUCCUACGGGAGGCAGCAGUAGGGAAUCUUCCGCAAUGGGCGAAAGCCUGACGGAGCAACGCCGCGUGAGUGAUGAAGGUCUUCGGAUCGUAAAACUCUGUUAUUAGGGAAGAACAAAUGUGUAAGUAACUAUGCACGUCUUGACGGUACCUAAUCAGAAAGCCACGGCUAACUACGUG